AUUUUGUAAGGCUAUAGCUGCCAUGGAUAGUGAUUCCUCUGAUGGAUCUCAGCAAAGUAAAUUGAAAGCCACUGGAAAGGAUUCACCAGUCUAGAUGCCAUUAAGAACAUUUGUGAUUCAUUGAAGAAGGUCAAAAUAUCAACAUUAAAGAGUUUGGAAGAAAUUGAUUCCAACCUUCACAGAUGACUUUGAAGAAUCCAAGGCUUCAGUGGAGAAAGUAACUGCAAAUGUGGUAGAAAUAGCAAGAGAACUAGAAUUAAAAGUGGAGUCUGAAGAGGUUACUGAAUUGCUAUAAUCUCAUGAUAGAGUUUGAAGGGAUGAGCAAGUUGCUUCUUAUGGGUAAGCAAAAAAAAAAGGAGAACCUUAAAAUUAAAACUACUGCUGUAAAGAUGCUAUGAACACUGCCAAAAUGACAACAAAGCAUUUAGAAUGGCACAUAAACUUAGUUUAUAAGUAGUGACAAGGUCUGAGAGGAUUGACUCCACUUUGAAAGAAGUUCUACAUAAGGUAUCAAACAUCUCAUGCAACAGCGAAACUUUUCAUGAAAGGAAAAGUCAAUCAAUGCAGGAAACUUCAUUGUCUUAUUUCAGAAAUUGCCACAGCCACUUCAACUUUUCACAACCACCACCUUGAUCAACCAGCAGCCAUCAACAUUGAGGGAAGACUCUCCACCAGCAAAAAGAUUACAAUUCACUGAAGGUUCAGAUGAUUAUCAGCCUUUUUUGCAAUAAAGUCUUUUCAGUUAAGGAUCAUGGCUGCUUCAGUUCUGGCUGCCUUGGUGACUCCAAGAUGUUUUUGAAUAGUUUCCCCUACCCUUUGGCUUUUGGAAGGGGGUUUCAACGACCACAAUUUAGUCACUCAUACCUGGAAGUAAAAGUCUAGCAUGGUUUAAAAAUGCAAAGAAUUUCCUUGGAAUACAAC
rnacentral:lncRNA from 10 species